GAGCAAACGGCCCACGCAGUUCCUUGAGAAGGCCGCUGAGGCAGCACCGGGCAGUGAUGACAUCCUGGCACAGCCAACUUUUCCCCUUACAUGGCCACAUCUCAAUUCAGUGUGAACCCAUCAAAGUGCCCAUCUUGAGGAAACAGUUUGUGAAGAUGAGGCAUUAAUCACUGGGGAGUCAAGUGGAGAGCCAACUGUAUGACUGAAAUAGCCAGAGGCUAUUGAAAUGGGGGAACACACAGCAGGGGUGACCAGCCCUGGCUCAGCAAGUGACUCACAGCUCUCCCUUGGCAUCCGGGGCUUCUGGGAUGGUCAGCAUAAGCUAUUAUUAUUCCCAAGGUGAGAGCUCCAACACUGGAAACAGAAGGAGUCUCUGCAUGGGCCAGUCUUCAGGAAGACAUGAUGCUGGGCCCAAUUACCCCUUCGAUGAGCAGGGACCACCGGGCCAGGCACUGAGUAUGCACAGAGAGUCUGGGGUCAGGGAGCAGAUGCCUAGACCAGACGGGGAGUGCAGGUCCGAUUCUGGACUCCUUAAGCCUUGCCCUCUGAACGACUUGGCCAGGCUGCCCCCAGACAAUGAGGAAGAGUCAAGGGAGGUCUCCUUCCAGAGGCCUGGGUGCAAGACCUUUGCAGUCCAGCUUCCCAGCUCAGCGGUGCUGCCUGGCUCUCGGUGACAGCUCAAAUGACGAGAGAAAAAUGUCCUCAAACUGGAGGAUGGAUAUUCAUGGGAAAUGCAGAUGAGGAAGACACUGCCCUUUCCCCCGAAAUGACCAUUCACAACAGUGGGGCCAGCCCUUGUACUCUGCUUGGCCAGGGGCUGCCAGCCUCUUCAGGAAAGCCAUCUGGAUUCUGGCACUAUGCACUCUUCCCUACUUGGGCAGGAGCUCACCCAGACCAUUGCUCCACCUCCAGUUUCCAGACAGGAAGGAGGGAAUGAGUGGGCUGUGGGCUGUGCUCAAGAUUCCAGUUUUUUCGGGGAUCAGGAUUAUACUUAACAUGCUUCAAUCCCAGAGCAGCCCAAGCUCUUCUGCAGCCGCCCUGGGGUCACUCCAGCCUCCCCUGGGAGCCAUCUCUGCACAAAGAGCUGUUGCUGAAUGUUUAGUGAGGUCAUAUGUCUGGCAACUCCAAUGGCAGCAAAUUAAACUACUUUUUAAAGAACUUGGCUCAGGAUGAGCUGGAGAGGCCCCAGACAAAAUCCUUAACCCUCUACAAGGCCCUGUGAGCCACAGGAAAUUCACACAUACAUCCAGAACUCUCAGAGAAAGAUCUCCAGCCUUCAAGGGUUGGGCAUGGCUUUGGUGCCAUGACUGGGAGUUUUGGAAGGCCAAAGGAAUUCACCAAGGAUUUGAGUUGUGUACAAAUCUACUCAGCCUGGGUGGCUGUUCUAAUCUGCCAUGCUUUCACUUUGGGGUCUUGCUGAUGGGCACAGGCUAUGGAAGUCUUCUCUUUGAAAGUGAGGGUAGAUGUAGAAUCCCCUAGGCGACAUUCACCCUUGAGAUUGUACCAUAAGCCACACACAUAAAGUCUUCCUGAAUUGAGCCUUCAGAGCUACCUGGGCAAGAUAGAAUCCUGGGCUCUCAGUGUCUGAGAACAGAUGCUUCUUAAAUCCAAAGCCUUUAUUCAAUCAAAGGCUCAUAGGUCAUAGCUCGGGAGGUGAAAGGGCCCUCAGAGAAU
ensembl:lncRNA